GGAGAGCUGGAGACUCCGAGGCGCUGAGCGCCGCGGCCGCCCGGGCAGAGCCGGCGCGCAGCGUGUAGAGCGAGCGCGGCGGGCGCGCUUCCCGGGCAGCCCCACGCCCCUGCCUUGCGCGCUGCCCGCGCCAUGAAGCACAUCCCGGUUCUCGAGGACGGGCCGUGGAAGACCGUGUGUGUGAAGGAGCUGAACGGCCUCAAGAAGCUCAAGAGGAAAGGCAAGGAGCCGGCGCGGCGCGCGAACGGCUAUAAAACUUUCCGAUUGGACUUGGAAGCGCCCGAGCACGGCGCCGCCGCCACCGACGGGCUGCGGGACAGGACCCAGCGGCUGCAGCCGGUCCCGGCCCCGGUGCCAGCCCGGGUGGCGCCGGCCGUUCCCUCAGGUGGGGGCGCGGACACGGCCGGGGAGCGCGGGGGCGCCCGGGCUCCGGAGGUCUUGGACGCGCGGAAACGCGGCUUCGCCCUGGGCGCAGUGGGGCCGGGACUCCCCACGCCGCCGCCACCACCGCCGCCUCCAGCGCCCCAGGGCCAGGUACCUGGGGGUCCCGAGGCACAGCCUUUCCGGGAGCCCGGCCUACGUCCCCGCAUCUUGCUGUGCGCACCGCCAGCACGCCCCACGCCGUCGGCGGCCCCUGCUCCCCCGGAGCCCUCAGUGCGCCCGGCCCCCCCCACGCGCCCUGGGGAAAGUUCUUACUCGUCAAUUUCACACGUAAUUUACAAUAACCACCCGGAUUCCUCCGCGUCGCCUAGGAAACGGCCAGGCGAAGCUACCGCCGCCUCCUCCGAGAUCAAAGCCCUGCAGCAGACCCGGAGGCUCCUGGCGAACGCCAGGGAGCGGACGAGGGUGCACACCAUCAGCGCAGCCUUCGAGGCGCUCAGGAAGCAGGUGCCAUGUUACUCAUAUGGGCAGAAGCUGUCCAAGCUGGCCAUCCUGAGGAUCGCCUGUAACUACAUCCUGUCCCUGGCGCGGCUGGCCGACCUCGACUACAGCGCCGACCAUAGCAACCUCAGCUUCUCCGAGUGUGUGCAGCGCUGCACCCGCACCCUGCAGGCCGAGGGCCGUGCCAAGAAACGCAAGGGGCCUGCGUAGCUGGGUGGCCUUGCUCAAGUGUCGUAUCCGGGAGAUGCCAGCCUGAUUGCCCACCUAUCCAGGGGUCAGUGGCACAAAGGAUGUGCAACUGUUUUGUGAACUCUGUCCUCCCUCCCGUGUCUGCUGCCUGAGAAGCUGGUCCCCGUGGAGCCAAAGGAGUGACCGGCCAUGGGCUUGUCCAAGGACGCUGCUGUGGGCCCUCUUUCCAGUCAAGCUUGAGGAGAAGGUGAGCUCGCCAAGUCCAGCCUUGUCGUCCUCUCUAAGUUGCCACCGGAUGCUCAGACCGCCACCUCUCAGGACAGAAGCUUGCCUGCUCCCCUCUCGCCCUCUCCCCCGCCCCACCCCGCAACCACUCCACAGUGACUUUGCACUUUGCUCUCUGCCUGGUGGGACGGGGAGAGCAAAGCCUUCCCCUUGCCCGGGCCUGAGGCCCACCGUCUGGCUGCAGAAAUUCAUUGCCAAAGAUUCGACAGAGACACUGAACAAAAUGGGGUGAGAAGACCCCAUAGUGAAAAGCCACACUGUUGCUCUGUGAUGUUUACUCCUCCUGUUGCCCGGGUCCCAUCUCACGCCAAAGACGAGUCAGCAGUUCCACUAGGAACUCGUGGAAAGGAUGGACGUUUGGUGACUGUUGGAAGCGCUUUGACCCUCUGACCCGGAACUCCCUUUCUACAGCUGGGCCCCGAGCUGGCUGGACGCAGAUAAGCCUUCUGUCUUAUCUGUGAUAGGGAGGCUGUGACAGGGAGGCUGGGGUCGCCUGUGGGGUGAGAUCUGAGAUCCUGGCCCCCCUCUCCUUCCCUCUGGCUGCCCAGGCCUCUGACCCUGAUUUUCCCAUGUUCCCUGGGCCCAGGCUCCUUCUUGGGCCCUAAGCAUCGUGAGAAGUGAAUGGGAGGGUGGGGGGCAAUACUGACCACCCGUACCUCACCCCAGGGACUUGCCCCAAGCUGACCCCCAGCCGGUCCAGCCAGCCACUCCUUGCCAGGGGCCCGCCCUCCUGACUGGGCACACAAGAUGGCGCCCUGCCUGGGGGCUGGCGGGCUGUGAUGGUUGUGCAGGGGGGCAGGGGGAGGAAGGGACCAGGGGAAUGGGCCAGUAUGUGGGGAGGCGGGCAUGUUCAAAGUCAAGGCCUGUUCCUUCCUUGUGCACAAGGCCAAAGCUGUUCACGUCUGUGCUCAACCAUCUGCUUCAAAUUGAAGUAAAAGCCCCAACGUGUAAAGAAAACACUUGCUUGUGUUGAUGGACUCUGUGGGCUACCAGGACUUUGGCCGGUCAGUUGGAGAGGGUUGUGGGGGGAGGGAGAGGUUGA